CUAUUGGUCACAAGCAUCAAUUUUUUUCAACUAGGGCACCAGAAAAAGUUUGAAAAACACUGCUCUAUACAAUAAGUUACAGGCUUGAUACAGGCAUUAAUAGAUAAGGUUUAGCAGAAUUAGGCAGGUCAGCAGAUUCCAACAUCCCACUUUAUGUCCUUGAGGCCUUAAGUUCCAAAUGCAUUGUUGUCCACUGAAUUAUUUAGCCUGGUAGUACGUUUGCAAGGCCCUUAGAUGAGUUUUGAGAUGAAGGAAAGCAGAAUACAAUCACAUGCUCCACCUACUUCUUCAUACAAUGAGGCUACCGAGUAGGCUUGUAACUCACUCUUUUAUUGCCUGCCACUACAAAGAACAGAUGGACUGAAGCAAGGAAGGUCUUCAGCUGGCAACUAGAAUAAGUUUAAGGACAGCACCACAUAAAUAUAUUUUUCACUUCAAUUAUUUCUGUAGUCUAAUUAUGGAGAAGUCUAUAGGAAACCACUCUUAUGAAAACCUUAGUGGCUUCAGUUUUCUAAAACUGACACUUCGCAGAAGGCAACUAACAU